UAUGGUGGUUAUUCCGGGGGUGUUCACCUCUUCCCAUUCCGAACAGAGUAGUUAAGUCCCCCAUGGCCGAUGGUACUGCACAACAAUGUGGGAGAGUAGGUAGCCGCCAUUC
rnacentral:rRNA from 1 species